CACGUAGUUAGCCGGGGCUUCUUAGUCAGGUACCGUCAUUUUCUUCCCUGCUGAUAGAGCUUUACAUACCGAAAUACUUCUUCACUCACGCGGCGUCGCUGCAUCAGGGUUUCCCCCAUUGUGCAAUAUUCCCCACUGCUGCCUCCCGUAGGAGUUUGGGCCGUGUCUCAGUCCCAAUGUGUCCGGUCGCCCUCUCAGGCCGGCUACUGAUCGUCGCCUUGGUGAGCCGUUACCCCACCAACAAGCUAAUCAGACGCGGGUCCAUCCUAUACCACCUCAGUUUUUCACACCGAACCAUGCGGUUCUAGUGCGCUUAUGCGGUAUUAGCAGUCAUUUCUAACUGUUAUCCCCCUGUAUAGGGCAGGUUACCCACGCGUUACUCACCCGUCCGCCACUCAGUCAUAAAAGUCCUCAUCCGAAGAAUCGUCCUUAAAUGCUUCGUUCGACUUGCAUGUGUUAAGCACGCCGCCAGCGUUCAUCCUGAGCCAGGAUCAAACUCU
rnacentral:rRNA from 1 species